CAGUAGCCACGGUAAUACAGAGGGUGCGAGCGUUAAUCGGAUUUACUGGGCGUAAAGCGUGCGUAGGCGGCUUCUUAAGUCGGAUGUGAAAUCCCUGAGCUUAACUUAGGAAUUGCAUUCGAUACUGGGAAGCUAGAGUAUGGGAGAGGAUGGUAGAAUUCCAGGUGUAGCGGUGAAAUGCGUAGAGAUCUGGAGGAAUACCGAUGGCGAAGGCAGCCAUCUGGCCUAAUACUGACGCUGAGGUACGAAAGCAUGGGGAGCAAACAGGAUUAGAUACCCCAGUAGUCCCUGUCUCUUAUAC
rnacentral:rRNA from 1 species